rnacentral:misc_RNA from 1 species
GAUGAAGAACGUAGCGAAAUGCGAUAAGUAAUGUGAAUUGCAGAAUUCAGUGAAUCAUCGAAUCUUUGAACGCACAUUGCGCCCGCCAGUAUUCUGGCGGGCAUGCCUGUUCGAGCGUCAUUUCAACCCUCAGGCCCCCAGUGCCUGGUGUUGGGGAUCGGCCCAGCCUUCCUGUAAGGCCGCCGGCCCCGAAAUCUAGUGGCGGUCUCGCUGUAGUCCUCCUCUGCGUAGUAGCACAACCUCGCAGUUGGAACGCGGCGGUGGCCACGCCGUAAAACCCCCGACUUUCUGAACGUUGACCUCGGAUCAGGUAGGAAUACCCGCUGAACUUAAGCAUAUCAAUAAGCGGAGGA